ensembl:lncRNA
UGAAAAACAAAAAACGAGUGGUUAUUUGAUUUUCGUUUUAAAAUACAAAAAUUAAAAUUGAAAUACAAGGCGUUUUUCCUUUUCAUGAUCAAAAAGGGAUAUACGAUUUUUUUAAAAAAUGCUUUGAUUUUCGUUUUAUAUUUAGAAUAACAAGAAAGUAAAAUCAGUAAGAGACAGAAACGAAAAAAGGUCCGUUUUUUCAUUUUCUGAGACCGGAAGUGGUCAUCAGCAAGUGUGGAGCCAAACAGAGUACGGUGCAUAGACUGUACAUACAUUUUUUUGACACUGAAAGGACUCUGAUAUUUCGAAUGAAAGUAGCAAUUCCUCCUUAAGGUCGGAGAUUGCAGCAUCUGAGGGCCUCUUCAAAAGAAGACGUAGUUGAUGAAGGCGUUCUGGAGCAGGACCAGAAAGACCACGACCGAGCAGCCUUGAGAUCUUAGGCAGCAUCUCCCUCGGCUGGCAUCAUGAUUGGACUGUACUUUGGUCUGUUCCAAUCCAGCUUCAUCUCCAGAGACGGCAGGCGGGACGAGUCAACGGAGGCCGGGUGGACGAAGUUCAAAGGUCCCGCUCUAUCUCCCUACACAUCUACCAACCACUGGAACACAUCUCCAAAGUUCUGCCGGGCCAGCUCUGCUUCCCCUCAGAAGAAGUGCCGCCACCUGCCAGAUGAAGGAGCCUUUUGAGAGGCAGCUGGCAUCGUGAUUGGACUGUACUUUGGUCUGUUCCAAUCCAGCUUCUGCUCCAGAGACGGCAGGCGGGACGAGUCAACGGAGGCCGGGUGGACGAAGGCAUGCAGCUGAGUGGGAAAAAAAAAUGUGAUUUUUCAACAUG